CCUACGGGAGGCAGCAGUGGGGAAUAUUGGGCAAUGGGCGCAAGCCUGACCCAGCAACGCCGCGUGAAGGAAGAAGGCUUUCGGGUUGUAAACUUCUUUUCUCAGGGACGAAGAAAGUGACGGUACCUGAGGAAUAAGCCACGGCUAACUACGUGCCAGCAGCCGCGGUAAUACGUAGGUGGCAAGCGUUAUCCGGAUUUAUUGGGUGUAAAGGGCGUGUAGGCGGGAGCGCAAGUCAGAUGUGAAAACUCAGGGCUCAACCCUGAGCCUGCAUUUGAAACUGUGUUUCUUGAGUGCUGGGGAGGCAAUCGGAAUUCCGGGUGUAGCGGUGAAAUGCGUAGAUAUACGGAGGAACACCAGUGGCGAAGGCGGAUGGCUGGACAGUAACUGACGCUGAGGCGCGAAAGCGUGGGGAGCAAACAGGAUUAGAUACCCCAGUAGUC
rnacentral:rRNA from 1 species